AGAAACACCUCCCGUCACAUAAUUGUCAAAACACCAAACGCACAAAAUAAAGAAAGAAUAUUAAAAGCAGUAAGGGAAAAAGGUCAAGUAACAUAUAAAGGCAGACCUAUCAGAAUCACACCAGACUUUUCACCAGAAACUAUGAAGGCCAGAAGAUCCUGGACAGAUGUCAUACAGACCCUAAGAGAACACAAAUGCCAGCCCAGGUUACUGUAUCCUGCAAAACUCUCAAUUAACAUAGAUGGAGAAACCAAGAUAUUCCAUGACAAAACCAAAUUUGCACAAUAUCUUUCUACAAAUCCAGCACUACAAAGGAUAAUAAAGGGUAAAGCCCAACAUAAGGAGGCAAGCUAUACCCUAGAAGAAGCAAGAAACUAAUCGUCUUGGCAACAAAACAAAGAGAAUGAAAGCACACAAACAUAACCUCACAUCCAAAUAUGAAUAUAACAGGAAGCAAUAAUCACUAUUCCUUAAUAUCUCUCAACAUCAAUGGCCUCAACUCCCCAAUAAAAAGACAUAGAUUAACAAACUGGAUACGCAAUGAGGACCCUGCAUUCUGCUGCCUACAGGAAACACACCUCAGAGACAAAGACAGACACUACCUCA
rnacentral:lncRNA from 1 species